rnacentral:tRNA from 1 species
GCGGACGUGCCGGAAUUGGUAUACGGAACAGACUGAGGCUCUGUGAGGUUUUACCUCGUGUGGGUUCAAGUCCCACCGUCCGCACAA